UCACCAAGAUUUAGAUGUUAGCUGUUGUAUGUUGUCAAAUUUCGUCACUUUCCUUAAUAAAGCUAGACCUGUGGUUCUAAGGUUAUUGUGAUUUGGUACUUGAUGCUGAGCACUGUACAUUCAAAUAAUAUGCUUUUGUAAGCUCUGCUCUGCACAGUGUUGCAGCAGUGAAUGAAGUAAUCUCAGGUUAUGUUAUUU